AUAGAUGAGAUUGAGCAUUUGGCUGUGUGUGGACACGCUUCAUCGUGCCAACUCAACUAGCCCUCGGAUGGCGGAGGAAGAAAAUCACAAAAGGAAACUUAGGAUCCCCAGGUCCCAGCACAAAAUGCACUUCCCAUUGCCGAGGUGAAACUAUCUGAGGCAUUGAAUGAGGAACAAUACAAUUUUUGAGAACGCUAAGGAGGUGCUUACCAACCCGAACCAACGCAUUUGUUUUUGAGAAACGUGGUGCUUAUUUGCAAAUGCUGAAGAAUACCAGCCUCCAAUAUGGAAAUCAUACUUAUAUCAGUUACAGCAAGAGGCACCUCGUCCCAAGAGAAUCAUUUGUCCUCGGGAGGUGGAAAACAGACCAAAAUAUUAUGGAAGAGAGUUUCACGGGAUCAUCUCCCGGGAGCAGGCGGAUGAGCUUCUUGGAGGCGUGGAGGGUGCCUACAUCCUUAGAGAAAGCCAGCGGCAACCAGGAUGCUACACGCUGGCUCUGAGGUUUGGAAACCAGACCUUAAACUACAGGCUCUUCCAUGACGGGAAACACUUUGUGGGUGAGAAGAGGUUUGAGUCGAUUCACGAUCUGGUGACAGAUGGCUUGAUAACACUGUACAUAGAAACAAAAGCUGCCGAGUACAUUUCAAAAAUGACAACUAACCCCAUCUAUGAACACAUUGGAUAUGCCACCCUACUCAGAGAAAAAGUAUCCAGAAGGCUGAGCAGGUCUAAAAAUGAAC
rnacentral:sRNA from 1 species